ensembl:lncRNA
AUGGGGGGGAGCGAAGGGUCCCCACCCACCCCUCUGUCUCCAGUGGAGAUGGGGAGAAGGACAAAGGAGCUCUCUCCUUCCUCCGGCCCCCCUCCUCAAAAGGGCAGCAGCUCCUUCUUUCCCUUCUUCUUGGCUACCCUUAUUCUCUCUUCUGUGGUUUGGCAUCUCUCCAUAGAAGAGGAUUCAGGAAGUUUGGCUGGCUGCGAAAGCAUUUCAUAUGCCUGUUUUACAGGGAAAGCAGUAUUCGUCUUUGUGUGAGAGACAGUCACCUUCAUCUCCACACAAAAUCCUCUUUCUACAUCCGACCCUGACCUCUCGGUCACCCAUGUGAUUCACCAGGUGCCAUACUGCAUGAGUGGAGGAAUCUAACCACUGUGCUAAAAUGUGAAGUUGGAUGUUGUAGUUAGGCAAAUAUCAGUAUUUCUAUGGUUAGACAUGUAACUUGUCCUGUACUGUUUGUAAUAAGAAAACUAACAGCAUUGACUUAAGGAGAAAUGUGUUUUAAAUCAUGUGACACUGAAAAUAAAUUAAUUUUUUAAAUAUAUUUAUAUAGAAAACAGUUAUUUUAAUUUGUAAUAAUAUUCCACAAUAUAACUGUUUUAUUUUUAAAGUUACUUUAAGAAUGAUGAUGCAGUCAAAUUAAGUGUAUCUUUUUUAACAAUCCACAAGGUCCUUUGAAAAGCGUGUUUGAGAGAAAUAUUGCUGUAUUGAUGUUACGAGAGGAAAUUGCUUUUGGUUGCUGAAAGAAUUGACAUAUAGUUCUCCAUCUUUCAAAAACUAACUAAAUAAAAAAUAAAACAUUCUCAGCCUAUACUUCCUGUCUUUUCCUCGACACCAUGCUUCAGUUCUUCGCUCUGACCAGUGGAGAUGUUAAAGCAGAAGAAGGACUCUGAAGAACUUAUAGUGGAUGUUAAUCAUGACUACUAUAUACACUGAUUGAUUUUGUACUAUACAUUGUCAUCACAAACACUCAAAUCAACAUCUUCUCAUAUCAGGAUUUCUGUCCGUUUAAAAUGUUUAAUAUCUGAAAAGUCCUUUUAUUAGGUGUGAAUGUCCAUUAGUCUAAUUUAGAAUGUAGGGCUUAAAAUUUCACUACACUGAUUUUUCACCUAAAAAAAAAAAGAAGAAGCAGGUUUUAGACAUUGAUGGGCUUUUUUUCUUUAGUUGCUAGCAGUCAGGUACACUGAGGGAGGCUAAUUACCUCCAUAACAAUAGGAAAUAACUAAAUGGACUCAUAAUGACUUACAUUCAAAGUAAAGACAAUGACCUGAACCUAAUUAUCCAAUCUUACCAUAUACUGUAGAGCAAGAUGAGAGAUACCACAAUUCAACCAUCUGCCCAAUCAGAUCAGAGCAAUCAGCUUCCUAAACCACUCGCUCAUUCGGCUGAGGCACAUUUCGUACCUUUUAACCUCUCCUUGCUCCCCAGGCUUAGCUUUUAGUAUGACAGACAAAGUGUGUAGGGAGUAUCUAAUGGAAUGGACCCAGCGGGGUGCAGGCUGCUUUUGGGACUGAGCCGGGGCCUAAUGUCAGGUGAACAGGAAUAUGCAGCAAGGUAGAGAGUGAGCGACACGGGGUACUCUGCUCUUAGUGAGGAAAAAACAUCUAGAGGAGACAAUUUUUUUAAAAAAUAAAAUAUAAUAAAAAAGUGCUACGAUGCCUAUUUCUUAACAACUUCUUUCUCUGUUUUACUGCUUUUCUUCUUUUUUUAAUCUACCAUCUUUAUUCAUUCCUUCCUUCCAUCUGCUCUCUCUCUCUAUGUAUCAUUCAAAUGUUUGGGGUCAGUAAGAUUUCUUAAAGUUUUUGAAAAUAGUCUCUCAUGCUCACAAAGGCUGCAUGUAUUUGAUCAAAUGUCGUAAAAACAGUAAUAUUGUGAAAUAUUAUUACAGUUUAAAAUUACUUAUUUUAAUAUAUUUUAAAAUGUAAUUUAUUCCUGUGAUGUAAAGCUGAAUUUUCAGCAUCGUUGCUCCAGUCUUCAGUGUCACACAAUCCUUCAGAAAUCAAUCUAAUAUGCUGAUUUGCUGCUUAAGAAACAUUUCUUAUUCUUCUUCUUAUUAUUAAUAAUGCUGAAAACAGUUGUACUGCAUAAUAUUUUUGUGGGAACUCAACUGUGAUGUUUUAUCUAUCUAUCUAUCUAUCUAUCUAUCUAUCUAUCUAUCUAUCUAUCUAUCUAUCCCUCACUUUUGAUCAAUUUAAUGCCAUUUCUGAAUAAAAGUAUUAAUUUAUUUUCAAUUUAUGAAAUAAUCUAUUUUGAAUAAUGUUAAUGAAAAUGUGAUUAUCAUCAUUUAAAAGAAAGCAUUUAUUCAAGCAUUUUUAAGCAAUCAAGUGUAGUUCAGGCCUACUUUCAUUAUACACUUUUUAUUCUUUCAGAUCAUUGUUUUCAGAACUGUCUGAUCUUCCAGUUUGAAAAUGAAGCUGAAUAUUGAAUUCAAGUAUUCUAAAGCAAUGUUUAUUUAUUUUUUCUCCAUGAAGUCUUUUUGUAGUCUAUCAUAGUGCAUAGCUGUUACCUGAGAAGUGCUAAAUGAACUAUUCCUCUUUUCAAUUUUUAUUCUCAGCAUGACUAAAAUGAUAACAGACUAAAACUAGGGGGAUGGGACCAGCCGUUCUCAUUUUGUUAACAAAAUGUACUUAAUGGCUAUUGUGGAAUCAUAUUUCAAUAGCUGAAGUGAUUGGCCUGAUAUUAGAAACCAUUUUAUUACAUGAAUGUUUAUAGAAGUGAUGUUAAUUUGUAAUUCAGAAAGCUCCCUGAUAAUACUCUGUAAUCUGGAAUGCAGUAACAGUGCCCCCUUUUGAGUGGAGAGGCCCUUGAUCUGUAACCUUAAAAUAGACCAUGAGUCUGUGGGUGAGUGUGCGUGUGCUCCUAUAGUUUCUGUAAGUUUUUUUUUAAUGAAUAUCAACCAGCGAGGAAUGCUUGAACCAGCUCACUUUUCUUUCACUGUAUAAACUGCUACAUUCAAAAUCGUUACAAAAUGGAGUGGGUUACAUUUAGAAAACCAAAUGAUGAUAAUAUUACCUGAAGUGAAAUGCAAUAAAAGUCUUCAUUUACAGAUUGUAUCUGUUGAACAGUAAAGUGCACAAUAAAAGCUACUUUGCUACUUGCAAAUGAUUGUGUUUGGCAAACCAGCUGAGCAGACAGCGACUCCACAUCGACAGGUGAUACUAACCGUUGGCACUGACAAAUAAAAACAUCACAUAUACCUGUCAAUCAUCUGUAAACCAAUCCAACAUGAGAGUAGAAGGGCUCCAGGGAUCAUGUUCUGGUUGGUUUAGGAUCUAUGGAUCUGCACAGCAUCAAGCGGCCUUCAGCGUUUACUGAAGUCAAACAUCAACCAUCUCACGUUAACCUGCCUCUGAUGAAACCGAUAAAACCUUUCAGGAAGGCAAUAACGAGAAAAUGCAACCAAGAGAGCCACUGUUUUAUACAAUUCCACCUAUGUUGACGGGUCUGACAAAUUUAAAGUGCUGGAUUGUAUUUAUGAAGUCUCACAAUGUGUAUUGGUUUUCAUAAGCCCUCAAACUCACUUGAAAUGUAAUGGCUUCGAACAUGUCUUUGAAAAACUGUAAUAAGACAUGAAUCACAAUCACCGGUUUCAAUUAUGACAGCCAUGGAAAUGUUCUGUCUGCAGGUGACCUGAUUGAAAUCUCUUGAGUUGAUGUGUAUCUGAUGCGAUAUGAUGUAGCUCAGGGAGGGUACUUGAAGAGAGAAGAGUAUCUCACAGAUCAGAGAUACCACUGAUCCCAUAAUAAUCCCAUGAUAAUCCUACUGUGAGAAAGCACUUAAUCAUCCUGUUUGUAAUGUGAUAUGGAUUAGGCCAUUAGCUAUCAGCAUGGCCACUAGACUCACACACCAUAGGCAUUAAUACAAGCCAAACAGCCAGGACCUGAGCCACUGACACAAAACUGAGCUCAGUCAAACCAACUUUCUCAACGUACUGUACAGUAAGUCACUGUUAACAUGCCUCUCUAAAAACAAUUUCUAAAUGUAAUACAAAUUAGGUUAACAAAAGUACUCAAACUGGUGAUCAACAUAGAGGUGAGAUCAAAUACUGCUGAUUACUGUAUAUAUUUUAUAGUUUGAAAGUCUUUUAUGUUCACCAAGGCUGCAUUUAUUUGAUCAGCAAUUCAGUAAAAACAGUAAUUUACUAAAUAUUUUUACAACUGAAAGCACAUUUUUAUAUAUUUUUGGAAUAUAAUACGUUUUGAAAUGUAAUUUAUUCCUGUGAUGGCAAAGCAGAAUUUUCAGCAUCAUUGCAGUAGUUUUCAGUGUCACAUGACCCUUCAGAAAUCCUUCUAAUAUGCUGACUUUGGUUCAUCAUAAAUGUGGUUAAUAACAGUUGUGCUGUACAUCUCUGAAGCAUUAUUUUGUAACAUAAGUGGUUUUACUGUCUCUUUCGAUCUAUUUAACGCACACUUGCUGAUUUCUGUAAAAACUUGAAUUUCAUUUCUUUAAGAAAUUGUGCUGAUCCUGAGUUUUUGAACGGUAGUGUAAAUAAUACAAUUUAACCACAGUGAAUGAGCCAUUCAAAUAAAUUCUUAAAUUAUUACUUUUUUCACACAAUAUUAAUUCAAAAUUCACUUAAAAUGCAGUUAUCUAUUGACACAAUUGUCAGUAAAUCAUAAUUUCCUAAUAAUUUGAAUUCAAAUAUAAUUUUAUAAUAUCUAUCAGUGGGUGAUACUCUCAUAAUGGCCAAAUAAUGUCUGAUUAAUCAGCCUGGCCAACAUAUCAGUCCAUCUUUAUUACCGAUUGCGUAAAUGAUCUUUUUCUUGUAUGUACUAACGCAUUGUACAUGAAUCUACGCACUCCGGAUAUCCCUAAACAGGUUUGUGUGUGUAUAUCGGUGACUCCCUGCAGUAAAAGCCUUUAAUUUGACCUGUAUUGUUCCUUUAAUUGACUAUACCUUCACACUAGCGUGAGCGUCCCUUUCUUCCUGUCUGUCACACAGCCAAAGGGUAACUUUCAUCCCAGAUCUGGUGACUGAGUAAAGCUUCAUCACGUACGAUCUCUGCAGCCGAUGAACCCAUGAGAUGAUCCUGCACACACAAACACGCACAUUUAAACUCAAUAACAUACGAUUCAUAUGUUUUUCCCCUGCACAUAUAGAGAAAAUUUGAGAAAAAAAAAAACAUGGUGCAAUCACAAUAUAAUGCAAGGACACUGGUUUCCACAGAA